rnacentral:rRNA from 1 species
UACGGGGGGGGUAAGCGUUGUCCGGAUUUACUGGGCGUAAAGAGCGCGCAGGCGGUCGGUCAAGUCGAGUGUGAAAGCCCCCGGCUCAACUGGGGAGGGUCAUUCGAUACUGAUCGACUCGAAGGCAGGAGAGGGUAGUGGAAUUCCCAGUGUAGCGGUGAAAUGCGUAGAUAUUGGGAGGAACACCAGUGGCGAAGGCGGCUCACUGGACCGGUACUGACGCUGAGGCGCGAAAGCCAGGGGAGCAAACGGG